rnacentral:lncRNA from 1 species
AAGGCUUAGCAUGGGUGUGGAGGGUGAUCAACCCCUCAUCUGUCAUUCAGAACUCCAUGCUGCAACACAGAGGGGAAAAAAAACCUUCUGCUCCCUGUUUCAACCUCAAGGGCAGAGAACACAGGCCGAGUUGCUGUUCUUGUCUCACAAUCUGGAGGCCAGAAGUCUGAAAUCAAGGUGUCGGCAGGAUUGGCUCCUUCUGGGAGCUGCGAGGGAAGUAUCUGUUCCAGGCCUCUCUCCUUGGCUUACAGAUGGCUGUUGAUAUGGUUUGGCUGUGUCCUCACCCAAACCCCAUCUUGAAUUGUAGUUCCCAUAAUCUCCACGUGUCAUGGAAGGGACCCGGGGGAGGUAAUUGAAUCAUGGGGGCAGUUACCUUCACGCUGUUCUCGUGAAAGUGAGUGAGUUCUCAGGAGAUCUGAUAAGGGGACUUUCCUCAUUUUACUCACUCAGUUCUCUUCCUGCCACCACUUGAAGAAGGACGUGUUUGCUUCCCCUUCUGCCGUGAUUCUAAGUUUCCUGAGGCCUCCCCAGCCAUGCUGAACUGUGAGUUAAUUAAACCUCUUGCCUUUAUAAAUUACCCAGUCUUGGGUAUGUCCUUAUAGCAGCAUGAGAAUGGAAAUACAGCCAUCUUCUCCAUGUGUCUCUUUACAUUGUCUUCCCUCUGUAAGCGUUCGUUUCUGUUAUAAGACACUAGUCUUAUUGGAUUAGAGACUGUAAUGACCUCAUUUAAAUUUGAUUACCUCAGUAAACACACUAUCUCCAAAUAAGGUCACAUUCUGAAAUAUUCAGGGUUAGGACUCCAGUAAUAUCUUUUUGUGGGGAGACACACUUCAAUCCAUAACAUACUAUAAGAGAAGGGAGCGCUUACCACUGUCCAUUACCUGGAACCAGUUCAGACAACCAUCAUCUUUCUACAUGCGAUGGAGAAAACAGUUCACCUGGGCAUUUUUGCUAUGACAGGAGGAAACGUCAAUAUCAAACCAUUGGAGAAGGUAGCUGAGUCAUUCAUUUGUGGCAGCAACCAUCUUUCCUUCCCGCACCCCCUGGCUAGGCUGCUCCAUGUUGGGAGGUGGUGUGUUCAGUACAGCCACAGUGAGCUAAGUGAGGGCUUCAGCUGCAGGCUGGAGUGACCCAGGGAGGAACUGCCGCCUAUCAAAAGGAAACACCUGCCACAGAAGGUUCACUGAAGCCUGAGAAAAUAAACGUCAAGAGCUCUGGGCUGUGCCACCACCAGUCUCCACCACUAUUCUGAGGCAGAAUGCACCUAUUGGCUCACAAUGCUGUGAAAGAAAACAAGAAAGUCGUGAUGGUGAGCGCUGCCCUGCAGAGAUAAUGAGCCACUAGAGUAGUUCUGAGGCAGGAGCCAGAGGAGCUGUGACACAGAGGCAGUCAGGGAGUGGGACUGGGGUCACAGGAGGGGCUGGACCCAGUGGUCUAGUGCCUCAUCUCAUUCCAGAUAUGUGACCUAAGAUCUGCAUGUGUGUGCCUGUGCAUGUGUGUGCCUAUGUGUAUGUGGAUAUGUGGCAACAUAUAUGUGCAUGCAUGUAAGUGAGUACACAUGCAUGUGCAUGUGGUGGGGUGUGGGUGACUGGAUAGAGGGAGCAUGGGGAAAGGGAGGGAAAAGAGGGUUAAAACCGUGACAGGAUAAUAAGCAUCUGAAAUACUUAACUACAACAAAAUGUUCUGAGGCUUUGUACAGCCUUAUUUUCCAAACUGCAGGUUGUGGCUCAGCAGUCAGCUGGGAAAUCAAUUUACCCAUGCAGAGAUUCUUAACCUGGGUCUGUGGACACUGCCCUUUCCCCACAAGAGGCCCAAGGAUAGAAUUGUAUUUCAAUAUCAUUGAUUUCCUUUGUAAGCCUAAGAGUUUUGCUUUAUGCAUUUAAAAACACUACAAGAAAGGAUCCAUAGGCUUCAUCACAUGGGGUAGAAAUGGCACGUGCACACAUGCAUACACACACACACAUACACACAAACAGAUACACACACACACACAAACACAUAUACACACACACACAAGGUUAAAAAUCUCUAGGUCAAAACCAGCAUUUUAAAAAGUUAUUAAGAUAACUAGAUUAUAAAGAAAUUAAAAAAUUUGAGCUAUGCAUGUAAUGAGGGUACUGUUUUGUGAAACUGGUUUUAGAUAUACAAAUACUUGUGUAUAUAAAAUAUACAUAUGUAUAUGUGUGUACAUAUUUAUGCACACACAUUUAUUUAUUUGUUUAUUUUGUGAUGGAGUCUCGUUCUGUCACCCAGGCUGGAGUGCAGUGGCAUGAUCUCAGCUCACUGCAACCUGUCUCCCGGGUUCAAGCAAUUCUCCUGCCUCAGCCUCCUAAGUAGCUGGAACUACAGGCAUGCCACCAUACCCAGCUAAUUUUUGUAUUUUUAGUAGAGACGGGGUUUCACCAUGUUGGCCAGGAUGGUCUCGAUCUCCUGACCUUGUGAUCUGCCCGCCUCAGCCUCCCAAAGUGCUGGGAUUACAGGUGUGAGCCACCCUGCCUGGCCAUUUAUUUUUAACUGUAGGGCAUAGGGCAAAAAAUUGAUAGCUAGUGUUCAAUAGCCUACUGGACAUUAGGGUAAAAGAUUUUUUUAAAAAAUUUUUAAAAAUUAUGAGUGAGGAAUGUAGUGGGCCAUUUGUGUUUCAGAGUGGAGGGCUCUGCUAUUAGGCAGACAUUUGACUUUUCACUCGGCACAUCCACAUUCCAGCCAGUCUCCCAGUGAAUGGUGAUAAGCUGGCCCUGAUCAUGCCUGUAUGGCUACACCCCUCUCUGCCUUGUUGAGGCCUGAGUUAAUUUGAAGUGUUGCAGAGGUAUUGUUUCCUGGGAGGGGUGUCUUCCUGUGUACCGCUGGUGUACCACUGGUGUAUGCCUGCCCAGAAGUUUGUUCUUUCACACCCACAGGGCCACCUGAAGAAACAGAGAUAGGGUCUCCCACGGAAUGGGGCAGCAAAAGAAGUAAAGCAAAAGUGAAGAAAAGAGAAAUAGGGGGCAGCAAGUGUUCAGGAAAAGGGGGGUCAGAUAGGAGAGAGAAGCAAAGAGAAAAAUCAAAGUGUAUAAAGCAAGUGGCGGGACUCGCUGAGCUGUAGGUGUAGUAAGAAGCUAUCACACCAGCCUGUUAGCUCCCUGCAGGAUUCACAGCAUCAAGGAUGGUGAAACCGAAAGAAAGAAAAGGUAGUUCAGCAGGAAAGAUCAACAAAGACAAAUCCUGGGACGAAUCCAAGCUGCUAUUAGAAUCGAACCAAGCAAAGAUAUGACCACCUAUGUUAGCGACCUGUUGCUUAGUUUAUUUUAAAUGAAACUCAUAUUUACUUGAUUAAUUUAGAAAAUCUGAGAUUCACUAGAGCAGGAACUUUGCCUUCCUCAGUUCCUAGACCAGUACCAGUUACAUGGUGAAGGCUUAAUAAAUAUUUAUAAAGGAAUGUUAAUUAAUCAGCUGGUAAUUGAUAUGUAAAAUUGCUUGAAAUUAUAAAAUAAUAGUGACAACUAAAAGUAAUACAGUGCAUAAUAGUUUAGAAAUCAACUUCAUGAUUAUCUCAUUUAAUCCUCACACAGUCCCAUCAGGUAUCACCAUGAUCAUCCUCACCUUAAGAAUAAGACACUAGUUCGAAGCCACUCUAUGAUUUGUGCCUGGGAUUUUAAUCAAUAUUCUCUGAUGCAAAAGCCAACCUAGCACUUUGCCUCUUUGGUCAUGUUGUAUGUGCCCACUCAUGAUAAGUGCUUGGUAUAUUUAAGUAGUCAUAUCCAUAGUAGGUAUAGGUAUCAGUUUGGAUUCUCCAGGAAGCAGAAUUACGAGUGUAUGAGGAGGAGGGGGUCACACCUGGGAAAGAUAAAGGGAGACUGAUCAAGGUGGGGCAAUGUAUUAGUCCAUUUUCACACUGCUGUAAAAAAAUACCUGAGCCUGGGCAAUUUAUAAAGGAAAGAGGUUUAACUGAUUCACAUUUCCACAUUGCUGGGGGAGCCUCAUACUUAGAAUCAUGGCGGCAGACAAAGAGAAACCAAGGACCUUCUUCACAUAGUGGCAGGAGAGAGAAGAGCCAGUGAGUGAGGAAGUGCCACUCUUUUAAAAUUAUCAGAUCUCAUGAGAACUUCCUUACUACCAUGAGAACAGCUUGAGGGAAACCUUCCCCAUUAUCCAAUCACUUCCCACUAGGUUCCUACCUUAACACCUGGGGAUUACAACUCAAGAUGAGAUUUGAGUAGGGGCACAAAGCUCAACCAUAUCAGACAGGGGUGCUGAUGUGCCACUUAUGAAAGGAGAGGCAGAAGGAAGCAGGAUGGAGCUGGGAGUGUCUCAGUCCAUGAUGUAGAUCUGACGAAGUCUUAGCCAAUAUAAUGGAAGUCCCAUAGCAAAGACUGCCUGCAAGAGAGUCCCACACUGGAUAGAAAUGGCCUGGCCUGGCCAUGAACCUCCAUGCUCAGGCAAUGUCUGGGUCUGCCUAGGAUGUGCAUGGCCUUGGCUUGAAAGUUAAGGUGGAUUCUACAGACGGUGUAGCUGGAUGCUGUUGGCUAACUGCACAUCUUGCAACCCGACAGCAAGUUAUUCCUUGAAGGGAAAAGCAAGUGGUGCACCUCAUGACUAUAUAUGUUUACAUUUUUAAAGACAUGACAUUUUAAUAUAAUUCCCACUUAAAUACUUUAGCUGGCUAUUGUUUUCUUUACUAUACCCUGACUUUCUAGUUAGUGAACUAUAGCCAACAUAGAGACCAAAUGUCCCAGUUUGAAAAUCCUAAAUUCCUACCUACAGGGUUGAGAGAAGAGAAGGGAUUAUGCUAGAUUGAGCAAUUAAAAUUUGAUACACUGGAUCAGGUCAACUGUUACAAAAACACAGGUGCUGCCAGUCCAUUUUUCAUAUCCCUGGCAGACCUGGCCGAUUGAUCACAGCACUCUUCCUUAUGAGUUGUGUUGUCUGCCUCAAAAUUAUUUUCAACAUUGUGAUCCAGACAGCCAUUCCCAAUCUAUCACCAUUGGCGCCUAAGAUGAAACCAAUUUAUCAUCCCAUCACUAGGUAAUAGGGGAAAAACACAGGUCUUGGAGCAGGUGUGUGUGCUCAAAUGCUUGUGAGGGUGCUAAUGAGAGUGUGAGAUUGAGGGAGAGGUGAUGAAAAUACACACUUGAAAUUAUUUAUCAAUUAGAAGGUUAUGUUUUAAUUUUUUAAUUAAUAAAUCUGUUUAAACCCAGAAUACCUUUUUCCCAGAGGCAAUAUUACAAAUAAGGAUUAUAUACAAAAGUCAGCAUCUAAAUCCUUACCUAUCUAUAUAUAAGUAUUACUGCAUUUGCUUUUGGAUCCUAACAAUAAACUCAGUGCUCAUUGACCUUAACAAAUAGGGUUUUAUUCUUUCUCCCAUAAAAAGAAAUCUGUAGGUAGGCAACUAUCAGCAUAGGUUCAGGGUUUUAGCAACAGAUCUUUGUGAUUCUCUUGCUACUUUCCUUGUAGUUACAGAAUGGCUGUUGUUCCAGGCAUUGUCUUCAAUAUUAUUUGGAGGUAAUUCAUCAGGAAAUAUAAAACUCUCUAAGUAGUCUCCCCCAGAAGAAUUCCAUGUACAUUUCAUGGGCCAGACAGGAUGACAUGACUGUCCCUAGCUUCAAGAAAGAUGGGCAAACCACAUAUUUUAUUUUCCAGCCUCUGUGCUGGGAGGCAGCAAGGGAGAAGGGGUUAGACAUAGCUUUUAGGUAGCUUGCCAAUAGGGAAUGGUACUUAGACCUAAAAGAUAGCAGUACUAGUUUUCUAGAGGUUAAAAUAAUACUCGAUGUUCUCAAGCAUGAGCAGAAAUAUCCUGCGUUCACUCCUUUACUACUCACUUCCGCUUUCUAAUAAAAAGAAUUUGAUAAAUAUAAUGAGCAUCUCAGUAUAUUUGCCAGGUGAGUGUGGAUUCUACACGUUUGUGCUUUAGCAAAAUAAAUUACUACUUUGAAUUUUAAUAGACUUAUGUCUUAAAAUCCAGUCAUUGGAUAGAUUUAAGGUGAAAUGCUGUUGAUACAUUACUAUUCAUUGUAGGAUUAACCCAACAAUCCACCACAAUUUAAAUGAGAAUUUAAAAAUCAAAUUAACAGUGAGUUAUAAUGAAAGGUAAGAAUGGCAGAAAUGGAAAUCUCCAGCCCACUCAUGAUAACAACACUCAAAAUGUAUAGCCUAUUUACUAAAAAUUACAGAAGUUCCAAACUAUCUCCUUGUCUCUAAGUGAGUCACAUGCCAGAAUUAACAGUUCUUUGGUGCUAUGCAAUCUUCUUAGUAUAGCACAGAAUUAAGUCAUUGGUAAACUGUAAUAAUGUGCUAAUUUUAGAUCAUUAUGCCAUAAUGUAGUAAUCCUUAGUAAAUACUUAGUAAGUUACUAGAAAGUAGCUCUUCAUCAUAUGCAAAAAAUAAAACUGAAGACAUUGCAUGUCAUUGGCUUCCAAGAAUUGGAGAAAGGAAAUUUUAGAGUCAGUUUUUGGUUCAUCUAUAGGACAGUAUGUUGGAUCAUAUUGUAAAGAAUUGAGAUGCAUAGAUGAGAGCACUAGUUUGAAAUCAACAGCUGGAUUUGACUCCAUUCCACCUCUGACAACUUAGGACAAGUGUCUUAAGCCCUGCAUAGCCCAGUUUCCUCAUUAUUAGACUGGCAACUACUAACACAGAAACUAUUCUACUUACAAUAUGGUUGUAAUUGAAUCUGUUUGUUGGAAAUUCCAAAGUGACUAAGCUUGCUGUCACAAAUGCACUUCCAGGAAUAGGAGCAUGAAUCAGUUUCUCAAAGCUUUUAAUAAAAGCUGGUGUUCUUGUUUAUGCAUGUUCAAUGCCAUGUCUGCCUAGGUGAUAAAAUAAUGUUUGGUGCAUAGAAGGCACUAAAAAUAUAGCUUUUGAAUGAGUGAAGGACAUUUUCCCCAAAAUUAUUGUCAUUUGUCAUUUGUCUCUGCUGGAAGUCUGUGGGGGCAGAUAACUGUUCUUGGGGAUCUCCCAAGUGUCCUGAGGAGGUCCUUAGGAGCCACAGCCUGCAUUCUCGUCGCCUCGCCCCUCAUGUGGAUGUGAACCAGACUGGAAGAGGCAUCCCUUUGCCUUGAGGCAACAGUUUCAAGAGCAGAGUCUCUUUGGCCAGCUCUUAAACUUCUCCCAAGUUAGCCCUCCCCGGAAUGAACAGGAGGCUCCUCUGCCCAUCUAGUGUCAAGGUGCCGACUCAAGAAGUCAUCCUUUGUCUUCCUCUUCCAUUCUCUUGCUGAUAUUGUCCACGGACACAGGCACAGCACUUUUGUACGUUGCACGAUUUGCUCUUUGCCCUUUAUAAUCAUUUCUACUAUUGAAUAAUUCAUCCUAUAUUCGUGUGAAGAGUUCCUCUUUUUCUCAUCACUUCCAGUUUUUAAAAAUCUCUUCUGUUUCCAUGGUAAUUGUAUAUAUCAACAAGGACUUUGAACACUCUCCAUUUUCUUGGAUUUAUUGAAUCUGAUGUGGUUAAUAAUGCUUGGGAAAACUUCUCAAAAAAAACUCUCACAAACACAGCAAAUGCAUUGAUGGUGAACAGCACAGUUUUUGAGUUCAAAAGGCAGCAGUGUACAUUCCAUAUCAUCUGCUGUUACCAUGUAGUAUGUUCUCACAGGAGAGCUUGGGAUUUUAUCUGUGAAUAUCCAUAGGUUGAAAGUUGGUAAGCAAAAGAACAUCUGUAACUAACCUACUCUUUUUCUGCAGGUUUGUUGUUGGGAUAAAAGUUAACGUGCUCUAGUGCACUGUAGCCUAUAAAAUGUUAUCCUUUCUGUGACGCAUGCCCCAUUUCCACCAUGCCAUGUGGGGACACAAGGAACAGAUCUUUGUCCACAGGAAAAGUGGAAACUCAGAGUUGAAUUUCCUCUUCACUCCAAAGCAUGACUAUGCAUGCACACACACACACACACACACACACACACACACACACACGUGCGCGCACACACACACAUGCACUCAAACUCCUAAGAGCUGGAGGCAGGGAUCCUGGCUCAGAGUUAGAGCUCUCACAACAGGAAGGAUAGAGACAAAAUUCCUAGUUGCUGAUCACUUGCUAACUCUCUUCAUUUUCAGAAGAAAACACCUCCUGGCAUUUGCUUAAUGGAAGGCACCUUUCUAGUCAAUCACUUGACAAGUGUUCUGAAUUGGAUUUUAAAAGGACAGAGGUUGAGAUUAGGGUUAGGGAUUUUUAUUACAUCUCAAAGUGCCUGUAUAAAUUACACAGUGGGGAUUUUCAGUUGAAAGCUUUUCCAGUUAAUAAACAGGAGACUCAUGUAUCGGCAUUUUUGUAAUGCUAUAAGAAUGGGGAAGUGUAGGUUCUGGCACGUAUUCAUGUAAACAAAAAGUGAGUGACGAAUUUUUACCUUGAGUUUUAGAAUCACACUCUUAUAAAUAAUUUACAUACAAGGAGAGAUCAUAGAGAUAACCUGUAGAAAAACAGAAAGAUGAAUUUUUUCCAGCUAAACUUGUCUUGGUGCAGAACUAUCUUGGGCAUAUCAGAUUUUAUAAAGAUACUUUUCCUCUUACAUUUCACACUUCACUUUCACUAUCCAGAAGCCAAGUGGAGGCAUUUUCCCUGAUGAGUGGGAGUUGUAAGGACUAGCUCAAGAGUAGAAUAGGCUUAGGCAAAACUAUAAUGUAGGGGAAAUCAUCCAUGUAACCUGAAUCCUAUUUUAGUGUCUUGAGCCUAAGCCCUAUCUUAAUCCCCAGAACCCCAAAGUUCUGCAGACAAAAAGUUCCCCAUAGAAGUGGCCUCCUGAUCUUUAAACAGAGCCAUGGGCUUAAUCUUCCUUUUGCUGCCAUCUAAAAUUUAAUAAUUCUAAUAUUCAUUUCCUCAGGGCCUUAGCUUGUGGACAAGCUAAUGUAUGCCAACAUACCCAGAGUUCUUAUGAUCUAAAAGUGUUAUUCUCCUGGGUAAGUGGUAAGUAGUUUGCAUUUCAACAAGGAUAAAUAAAUGCCUUGGUUCAAAAGAAUGACAGGGUAGGGUUGUUAAAAAUAUUACUUCCUCCAGGAAGCUUCUGCCUCCCUCUACCCUCAUGGAUUAGAAGUUCCCAGGAAGGCUCCUAUGUAAAGCAUGCUUCUCCUGUCAUGGUAUUUGGCACCCGUCAUUGACAACACUUGUUUAAUAAGCUCUGUGGGUACAGCCCCAUGUAUAUUCAUACACAUAUACUGUUGUAUUAAUUCCCACCACCCGGCUCCCUGAUGGAACACUUGAAGGACAUUAAUAAAUACUGUCUGUUGAAGAAUGAACAAAGCUAAGGGUUUCAGGGACUCUAGAAAGAUAAUAGAGUGAGGGAGAGACAAGCAGUAUUUGAAGGCCAGAUGGCUUUCACUGAUGCUUCCUACUUGGUUAUUUUAUAACUGACAAACCUCUGAAAAUGCCACUUAAAAGUAAUAGUUUUCAGUAUCACUUUAAGUGCUUUAGAAUCACACUCAGCAUUGGAUGUAAAUGGUUAAGGAGGGUAGCCUCGGUCUGCUACUGCCAUAGAUACCUUUAAUAUACAGAAAUUACACAGAAAGUGUCAUGGCAUUCUUGUUUUACCCAGUGAGAAAAUCCACUGUUCAAAUCGAAACCAAUAUGGAAAUUACUCCUUCCAUCAAAAGGAGCAGAGGACGAAAACAAAAACAAAAACAAAAACAAAAUCUCCUCAGCUCCACAGUGAUGACAUAGAAAGUUCAGAUAAGAAAGAGAAAGAAGGCUUUGGGAAAACAAAAAUAAGAAAGUAUUUCAAUGGCAUUCCAAGUAAAUAGUGGCUAGAGUUUUGGCUCAAUGUACUAGCAACACAGUGAUAAGGGCUCUUCUCAAAGUAAAGUGAACUUGGAGCAAGUGAAUGAGGAAACACUGAAAACGGGUGGGCUGAGAAAAAUGCACCCUCUCAGAGCAUGCAGUGAAGGCUCAGCUGAAUUAAUACAAGGAAAGGAAAUUUUACCCCAGACUAUAGAUCACUCGUUUAACCUUUCUCAUGAGAGUCUUCUUCAGUUGUUAGUGAGGGGGAAUUGUAGAUUUAUAUUAGACCUGCAUUGUAAUAUAACAGAGUUUAGCAAUGCACUGUGGCUAAGACAGCUAUAUAACCAACUGGAUGUAGUUCUUAGUGAUACCACACUCAGUCAUUUUCAGUUCUGCUUUCCUUUCGUUUUCCUUUUUUCCUUCUCAUUUUCUCUCUUUCUAUCAUACAUCAAGUUAAAGAAUGUCUUUAUAUGCUGCCAUAGACAAAUAUAUAUGAACCAGGUAGACCAAGAAACUAAGUAGUACACAAAGUGGCCAAACCCAGUAAAAGCCUAUAACUUCUACACGUUUUACACAUACACACACACACACCACACUCAUUUAAUUCCCUCAACACCUCUACUCUAUAAAAAUUUUAUGCCUCCCCUUUUUUUGGUUUAGUAAACAAAUUCAGGUAGGCUCAGUCAUUUGACCAAUGACAAACAACUAGAAUAUGGAGCAUGAAUUUGAAGCAUCAGAGUCUGUACCCUUUUCUCUGAAUAUUUUGGGAGAUAAUUGGUACAAAGUAAAUAAAAAUCAAUAUUGUCAUUAUUGUCUACUUAGAUAACAAUGCAGUGUCUUCAUUCAUAAUGGAUUGCAGUUCCCCACUCAGGAAGAGGACAUUUUUUUUAAAACUACAUGAUACAACUGAGAGCUUGGAAGCUAUCCAUGCAUAAGUUUUAAAACCCAGCAGCUUCAUGGUUUCCUCCUUCUGUUGGCCUGGCCAGUGGACACAGUGGUCACGUUCCUGGCAUGGAGAUGUCAUUCAUGGUCUCUCAGACCCAAGUGUUACCAGUGAAGGGUGUCCAGGUUCUUGGCGCUUUGAACAAAGAAUUGGACAAAACUCACAAACAAAGCAAGAAAAGAAAGAAGCAACAAAAGCAGAGAUGUAUUGAAAAUGAAAACACACUCCACAGGGUGGGAGCAGGCCGAGCAAGCAGCUCAAGGGCCCAGUUACAGAACUUUCUGGGGUUUAAAUACCCUUUAGAAGUUUCCAUUGGUUACUUGGUGUACACCCUAUGUAUAUGAAGUAGUGGCCUGUGAUCAGUCUGAUUGGUUGGAAGGGACCAAUCAGAAUGCAAACGUCUGAUUAGUUGUGGAAAGUGACCAAUUAGAGGCUGAAGUGAAGUUACAAAGUAAUACUCCCACGCAAAUGAAGACUUGGCCCACAACCAACCUGAUUGGUUGUGAGAGGGGACCAAUCAGAGGGACUUUCAGUUUUUCACCUGCAAUGCAGAAAAAGGGUGGCAGGUGAGGGGUGUUGCAAAGGGAGUAGCCUCUGGUCCUUUUGUUACUUGGGCACUUGGGCGUGGAAAGUGGGGGUUUUCCUUUUGAUUUAGUUCUAGGAAGUCAGCGUGAAUUGGCCUUACAUUCCCUGCCUCCAGACCCUAUUCUCCUGCCUCACAAGUGCUCCUAGGAGCUGUACAUGCCUGUCUUUGUCCCCAUGUAGUCAGCUCGUUACAGGUGGGUCCUGCUGGGUCUUUCGUUCUUGCUUCUCUGCUUCAAGAUGGCUAAUAAGUCCUGGUCCAGUGAGUCCCCAGUGCAGACAUAGAGCAGAAGGGAAGUGGGUCCAGUUGCAUUUCCUGCAGUUUAAUAAAGAACCCUGUGCUCUCUGGCCCAUUACCUAAAGCUGAUAUUGUGCUUGGAACGUGUAGUGUUAUCCAAUCCAGCUUUACCACUGCUAAAGCUGAUACCACGCUUUGAUCCUCUGCUUGCUCAUUUUGCCAAGUUCUUAACUGCGUGGAACUGGAAGGUGAGGGCUGGAUGAUUGAUUUUUCACCCUGCCCCCAAACUCCAACAACCGAAACCAAGGGUUCUUGAAGAGAGAGGGGCAGGGCAGCAACAGGGAGACUGAAACUUGGGGUGGGGGGGGGGCGGGGGGAGGGGGGCGGACGGAAUGUUUUUGAAGUGUGUGUUUGCCUAAGGUGUGUGUAGAAAGGUAGCUACUUUUCAGUCUCUGCCUGCCUUUAAUCCAUUACAAUGUCCUAAUUAAAAACAUUUAAAAAGCUACAUUGGAAAAUGAUCCCUGAGGCUAGAAUGCUGUUGGCACAGUGAAAAAGACGCAAUCAAUAAGUAAACAGGCAAUGUCAGCCCGGAGAGCUUUCAGAACAACAUGCCUACUCGGGGGAAAAAAAAUUACAAGUCGCUUUAGCCUAUUUAAAUAUUUUCCAAGAUCUUUGUUAAAUUUCAGGUAAUAAUAUUUCUUCCUUUGAACAAGCGUUGUAUGUUUGCCUUUGACUGAGAAUGGCCUAGGCUAGAGACCAUUUGGUAUUCAACUUGUGACUAUUUUAGUAUGGGGCUGGACCCCAAAAAUUCAUGCUCAAUGAAAUGAUUUUCACUUACUGAGAUGAAUUUACUUUUUGCUUCCUUCAGCAAUUCAUCAAUCUAAUGGAAGAAAGAGUAGCUAUCAUCAUAAUGAGAAUAGACUUCUACGAGUAUGAGUCAAUGUCAAUACUUUAUUUAAUAAUGCAAAUUCUAUUACUAUAUAUUUGGUCUCAAUCCAAAUUUGCUUUAAAUUGAGUUUCCUUGCCAUUGCACACUCCUAUCUUUCUGAACACACACCACCCCACACACACACCAUACACACUUGUUUCAUUGCGCUUCAUUUUAUUGCACUUCUCGAAGAAUGUGUUUUUUACAAAUUGAAGAUUUGUGGCAACUUUUCAUCGAGUGAGUCUAUUGGCAUCAUUUUUGCAAGAGCAUAUGCUCACUUCCUGCCUCUGUGACAGCAUUUUUUAGCAAUAACAUAUUUUUAAUGAAGGUAUGUACAUUGUUUUUUAGACAUAAUGCUAUUGCACACUUGACUAAAAUGUAGCCUAAGUAUAAUUUUUAUAUGCCAUGGGAAACUAAAAAAAGUGACUUACUUUAUUGUAAUAUUUGCUUUAUUACUUUGGUCUGGAACUGCCUCACACUAUCUCUGAAGUAUGCAUGUAUAGCUUUUCAUAACACAGAUAUCACAUUUGACCAGAUCCUAUUGUUACUGAACAAUGUUGAUGCUAACAUUGAUGAUAUCAAUCACUAUUACUGGAAUCAUUAUCAACAUAUCAAUAAAUAUUUUUAGAACAUUUUGAAAUUGUCAGCUGGGUUUUGGUUAAAUACUUCUUGUCUGAUAUAUUAUAUCCCAAAACAAUAACAGUAGCUGAAAAUACCAGAGAAGAUAUACUUUUUAAAGUAACAUAUUGUCAUAACGUAUAAGUAUCAAAAUUUCAUACUGCAGCAUGACUGACAUAAAGAACACUUUGUUGUUGUUGUUGUUGUUUUGUUUGUUUGUUUGUUUUGAGAUGGAGUCUCGCUCUGUCACCAAGGCUGGAGUGCAGUGGCACAAUCUGGCUCACUGCAACCUCCACCUCUCUGGUUCAAGCAAUUCCCCUGCCUCAGCCUCCAGAGUAGCUGGGAUUACAGGCGCAUGCCACCACGCCUGCCUAACUUUUCUGUAUUUUUAGUAGAGAUGGGGUUUCACCAUGUUGGCCAGACUGGGCUCGAACUCCUGACCUCAGGCAAUCCGCCCAUUUUGGCCUCCCAAAGUGCUAGGAUUACAAGUGUGAGGCACCACGCCCAGCCACAGAACACUUUUAAACCACUGAACUGAUAAAGGGGCUAUAAAACUCUUCUAUUUCAUUCUUUUUUUUUUUGAGACAGAGUCUUGCUCUGUCAUCCAGGCUGGAGUGCAGGGUGGCAAUCUCAGCUCACUGCAACCUCUGUAUUCCAGGUUCAAGCAAUACUUGUGCCUCAGCCUCCUGAGUAGCUGGGAUUACAGGUGUAUGCCACCAAGCUCAGCUAAUUUUUGUUCUUUUAGUAGAGACGGAGGUUUUGCCAUGUUGGCCAGGCUGGUCUCGAACUCCAGACCUCAAGUAAUCUGCCUGCCUUGGCCUCGUAAGUGCUGGGAUUUCAGGCAUGAGUGACUGCACCUGGUCUAUUUCAUUCUUUAUAAGCAGAAAACUCUAAAUACUUCUAGGAUAGGUGGUUCUGAGCAGUAGGCAUCUAUGUAUUUAAGAAUAUUAUGGAAUCUUCUGGUUUCUCCAAUCCUGUCCACCUAUCUUCAUUAGGAUGUCCUGGGCGUCUCAUGUGUUAGCAGUGCCGUUGACCCUUGAACAACACAGGUUUCAACUGCACUGGUCCACUUAUACAUGGGUUUUCUUUUGCCUCUGCUAUUCCUGCUAAACAAACCCCCUCCUCUUCCGCCUACUCAACAUGAAGAUGAUGAGAAUGAAGACCUUGAUGACUGAUCCACUUCCACUUAAUGAAUAAUAACUAUAUUUGUUGUAAUUUUCUUAAUAACAUUCUUUUUCUAGCUUACUUCAUUGUAAGAACACAGUAUAUAAUACAUAUAAUAUACAGAAUAUGUGUUAACUGACUGUUAAUGUUAUUGGCAAGGCUUUGGGCCAUCAGUGGGGUAUUAGUAGUUAAGUUCUUGAGGAUCAAAAGUUAUACUUGGAUUUUCAACUGCAUGAGGGGUUGGUGCCCCUAACCUCCACAUUGUUCAAGGGUCAACUGUAAUUUCCCAGCUCCUGUUUCUCUGGUUUCUGACCUGCUACUGACCUGCUUCCAGCUUGGCUUUGUAGUCUCCUACUUCAUAUCCUCCUUUAUUCCUUGAACCAGGCCUUUGACUUUGGGAUCCCUUCAAGAACACUUGGCUCCUUCCCUCCUGGCUACACAUACACAUUGUUAGGAGGGAUAAGCACCCUAGCAGGCUCUAGAUGCAGCUGCUGUCCUAGUUUCUCUUGUGGGUGGAUUUGGGACAGCAGGGAUUCAGACCAUAAUGUGGUUGUUCCUCAUCCUUCUUUACCUAACUAUUAAUCAUUGGAUUUCUUCAAGGCUUAGUCCUAGGGAAGCCUACUUACUAACCCUGUACGCUCUCUGAAAGAAGAAAAAUCUACACUUAUUGAGUAGUUAAUUGAGUGGUUACUAAAUACUGAGAACUAUGCUAAAAGUUUCAAAUGCAAGAAGCCAUUUUAAUACUCCCAACAGCAUUAUAAGGUAGGGAAUAGUAUAUUCUCUGUUUUUAAAUAUAUGGGAAAUUCAGAGUAUUUGAGUAAUUUCUUCAUGGUUGCACAGCUAGGAAGUAGCAGAGCUGGGCUGCAAACUGAGAUGGCUUCAUUCUAGGACUCCUGCUCUGAACCACUACCCUAUAUUGGCAUUGGUUUCUAUGGAAAUCUUUAAGUUAUCUCAUCCACACUUUUGAGUUCAAUUGCCAUCAAAGCAUUGAUGACUCCCAAACUUCAGUUGCCUACUCAACAUCUCCAUUUGAAUGUCUCAAGAACACUUCAAACUAACCGCAUUGAAAAGUGAACUCAGGUACCCCAACCCCUUCAAACCCAAUCUUCUUACGUGUUUUCUUCAUCAGUGAAAGGAAAUCAUCUUCCAUUAGUGGGAUGAGCCAGAUACCUCGGUGUCAUCACUGGCUCAUCACUCUGCUUCAGUUCUGUACCCAACCCAUUAUUAAGUCCAGUGAUUAACACCUCUGAAAUGUGUUUCAAAGCAGUCCUCUUCUCUCUGUCUUCGCAGCAACCACCUUUGUCCAAGACACAUUAUCUUUCAUCCAAUCUAGUGGAUAACGCUGUGCUAGUUAGGGUUCUUCAGAGAAACAGGAACAAUAGGCUAUAUAGACAGUCCUUGACUUUGGGUGGUUCAACUUAAGACUUUUUGACCUUACAAUGGUGUGAACCUGUCUCAGUUUUGACAUAAUAUAGUACAGUAUUCAAUAAAUGACAUGAGAUGUACAACACCUUAUUAUAAAACAGGCUUUUUGUGGCUGGGCGUGGUAGCUUACACCUGUAAUCCCAGCACUUUGGGAGGCCGAGGCGGGUGGAUCACAAGGUCAGGAGAUCAAGACCAUCCUGGCUAACAUGGUGAAACCCCAUCU